GCCCCCGGGUGUCUCACGCAGCUGCUGUGCCUCCUGCAGCAAGGCUUCGAUAGGAGCAUGCUGGGGACCUUGGCUGGGGCCAACAGCCUCAGGAACUUCACCUCCCGCUUCUGAGAGGGGCCGCCCGCACGUUCAGCUUGCAGACGUGAUCCGACCAGACCUGAGCAGACCCGGGCCUUGCUGCAGGCGUCUGUCCACCUGCAGUGUUUGGAGAUGUUCAACAGCCACACGAGCACACUGGGACACUGCGGUGGAUGAAAAUAUUUUUAGAUUCUUUCUUUUCCUUGGGGAACUGACAGGCACUGGGGGUGGGGGAGGGGAGCGGGGCUUUCUUGAGUUAAGGGGGCUUAUGUCUUGAUGUAAAUACUUCUUUCGCUGAGAAACGGUAUAUAUACACAUGUAUA